UUACACAUGCAGUCGAGCGGAAACGAUGAUAGCUUGCUAUCAGGCGUCGAGCGGCGGACGGGUGAGUAAUACUUAGGAAUCUACCUAGUAGUGGGGGAUAGCUCGGGGAAACUCGAAUUAAUACCGCAUACGACCUACGGGAGAAAGGGGGCAACUUGUUGCUCUCGCUAUUAGAUGAGCCUAAGUCGGAUUAGCUAGAUGGUGGGGUAAAGGCCUACCAUGGCGACGAUCUGUAGCUGGUCUGAGAGGAUGAUCAGCCACACCGGGACUGAGACACGGCCCGGACUCCUACGGGAGGCAGCAGUGGGGAAUAUUGGACAAUGGGGGCAACCCUGAUCCAGCCAUGCCGCGUGUGUGAAGAAGGCCUUUUGGUUGUAAAGCACUUUAAGCAGUGAAGAAGACUCCAUGGUUAAUACCCAUGGACGAUGACAUUAGCUGCAGAAUAAGCACCGGCUAACUCUGUGCCAGCAGCCGCGGUAAUACAGAGGGUGCAAGCGUUAAUCGGAAUUACUGGGCGUAAAGCGAGCGUAGGUGGCUUGAUAAGUCAGAUGUGAAAUCCCCGGGCUUAACCUGGGAACUGCAUCUGAUACUGUUAGGCUAGAAUAGGUGAGAGGAAGGUAGAAUUCCAGGUGUAGCGGUGAAAUGCGUAGAGAUCUGGAGGAAUACCGAUGGCGAAGGCAGCCUUCUGGCAUCAUAUUGACACUGAGGUUCGAAAGCGUGGGUAGCAAACAGGAUUAGAUACCCUGGUAGUCCACGCCGUANACGAUGUCUACUAGUCGUUGGGUCCCUUGAGGACUUAGUGACGCAGCUAACGCAAUAAGUAGACCGCCUGGGGAGUACGGCCGCAAGGUUAAAACUCAAAUGAAUUGACGGGGGCCCGCACAAGCGGUGGAGCAUGUGGUUUAAUUCGA
rnacentral:rRNA from 1 species